rnacentral:misc_RNA from 1 species
UCCGGCUUAUCACCGGCAGUCCCACUAGAGUGCCCAACUGAAUGAUGGCAACUAGUGACAAGGGUUGCGCUCGUUGCGGGACUUAACCCAACAUCUCACGACACGAGCUGACGACAGCCAUGCAGCACCUGUGUUACGGCUCCCUUUCGGGCACGCCCGACUCUCAUCGGGCUUCCGUACAUGUCAAGGGUAGGUAAGGUUCUUCGCGUUGCAUCGAAUUAAUCCACAUCAUCCACCGCUUGUGCGGGUCCCCGUCAAUUCCUUUGAGUUUUAACCUUGCGGCCGUACUCCCCAGGCGGUCAACUUCACGCGUUAGCUUCGUUACUAAUGGGUUUAACCCCACCAACAACCAGUUGACAUCGUUUAGGGCGUGGACUA